GAGGGCCCGGAUUGCACGGAGCAUUGGGUGUUACAUGUAAACAAUGAAUCUUUGAACAGUACAUCAGAAACUAACGAUGUGCUGUAUGGUGACUAACAUAAUAAAGAAGAU